AAUCAACGCUGGCGGCGUGCCUCAGACAUGCAAGUCGAACGAUUAAAGCUCUCUUCGGAGAGUGUAUAGAGUGGCGCACGGGUGAGUAACACGUAAGUAAUCUACCUUUGAGUGGGGAAUAACAAUCGGAAACGAUUGCUAAUACCGCAUAAUGCAGCGGCAUCGCAAGAUGACAGUUGUUAAAGGAGCAAUCCGCUUAAAGAGGAGCUUGCGGCAGAUUAGCUAGUUGGUAAGGUAAUGGCUUACCAAGGCUACGAUCUGUAUCCGGUCUAAGAGGACGGUCGGACACACUGACACUGAAUAACGGGUCAGACUCCUACGGGAGGCAGCAGGUCGGGUAAUUUUUGGGCAAGUGGGCGAAAGCCUGACCCAGCAACGCCGCGU
rnacentral:rRNA from 1 species